CACGUAGGGUGCGAGCGUUGUCCGGAAUUAUUGGGCGUAAAGAGCUCGUAGGCGGUGUGUCGCGUCGGCCGUGAAACCCGCGGCUUAACUGCGGGCUUGCGGUUGAUACGGGCGGGCUAGAGUUCGGUAGGGGAGACUGGAAUUCCUGGUGUAGCGGUGAAAUGCGCAGAUAUCAGGAGGAACACCGGUGGCGAAGGCGGGUCUCUGGGCCGAUACUGACGCUGAGGAGCGAAAGCGUGGGGAGCGAACAGG
rnacentral:rRNA from 1 species